GUGUCAGCAGCCGCGGUAAUACGAGAGGCCCAAACGUUAUUCGGAAUUACUGGGCUUAAAGAGUUCGUAGGCGGCGCGGAAAGUAGGGUGUGAAAGCCCUCGGCUCAACCGAGGAAUUGCGCUCUAAACUACCGUGCUCGAGGGACCUAGAGGUGAGCGGAACUGAUGGUGGAGCGGUGAAAUGCGUUGAUAUCAUCAGGAACACCGGAGGCGAAGGCGGCUCACUGGGGGUCUUCUGACGCUGAGGAACGAAAGCCAGGGGAGCGAACGGGAUUAGAAACCCCCGUAGUCC
rnacentral:rRNA from 1 species